CUUACAUAUCGGUAAGAAAAAACACUAUAACUGUUCAUCUCUCAACAUUGUGAGUAAGAAAAGGGGAUUAGGGUUCACAGUGUAUGAUUUCUGAUCGACGAUCCCAUAAUUUUAUUAGAAAACCCUAGACAAACGUUUCUUUUAUUAGAAUUUUCAUUUUCAAAGGCUAUUCCAAUUUUUUUUUUGUUCAGGUGGUGUACCCAACAUUUAGGUUAAUAGACUAAUUAAAGCUGGCAUAAGCUAGGUUGGACUGAUAGCGAAUUGGUACCAUUGAAACUAAACACUUUUGUGUUUGUAAAGUGAUGAAUAGAAAUUAAGAGAUACACUACAAGAAAUAUAGGUAUUGGUAGCAGUUCGCGGUAGCACGAAUUCACGAACUGCUAUUAAAAAUGUCAAAAUCCGGAUCCUAACUCUAUCGUAGCAUUAAAAACGGGCUACGGAUAUUUUCACUUAAUAAAGCCUAAAAAUCACCACUAUAGCGGGAAAGUCAUGUUGGAGGCAAAACACUUAGCGGAAAUUUUAGCUUUUGUGCCAUUUAGGUAGAGUUUUUAUUUCUUCUUUACAAAAAAAAAAUCACUCAUUCUAAUUCAUAGAAAAAAAACUAUUCUCUCAUCUUUCUCCUCCUCCAUAGUCGAACUUAUUUCUCUAAUUAAUUUGGGUUUCUUUCUUCAACUUUGACAAAAAAAAGUCGUUUCCUUUUCCUUCUCUGCUUCGACGUUGCUUGGAUUGACUGAAACCCCAUUGCUACGGUGUUGCAACUGGAGAUUUCCGCUUCGCCGCUGCUAGGAUUCUCUCCUCACUGCCAACUCCUCACUGAAAUUAGGGUUCAUAACCUUUGAUCAGUGUUGAUUCUUGUGGUUCAGUUUCUCCAAAUCGGUACCAAUCUUCAAGAUCUCAAAACCCAGAAUGAUUUUUUCUUUAUCUUCCCCUUUGUUGCUUCGUUCAAGUUUACACUUCCAUGCUUCUUCCCACCAAUCCAUCGUUACAGCAAGAAGAAGUAUCACCUUGUUCCACCGCCACCAAAUUCGUUGUAAUUUCACAAAGUUGCUGCCUUUUUCUGCAAAUUGACAGUGUUGGCUAAUAUUUUGAUAUCUGCAGAGUCUAUCAAAGUCAGGAGGAGGAGGUUUGCUUAAAAAUUUAGAGCAUGAGGAUGAUGAUUCUUCCUCCAGACAAGGUGUGCAAGUCUUUCCUUUUUCUCUCCCGUAGCCUUGGAUUGUCUCUAAUGCUUGGUAUUUCUCAGGGAGAGGUUUAUAUACGAGGAAAAAAGCGAGCUGGUUUGACAAGUGACGAGGAGGUUUCAGGGCUUUGCAUUGGCCUUGUAAGUGCUCUUUUCAUGAGUAGUGUAUGUUUGGUUUGGAGUGUGUGUAUCUGGGGUUAAGUCUCUGCAUUUUUAUUUCUUCUUUUACUUUGUGUCUUUGCGUGAAUCUAUGAAUGAAAUCUUAGAGCAGCACUGCCUCUGUUUCGUUUCAUUUCUAUGGAUGAUAUUAUCUUUUCUAUUCAAGAACUGGAUUAAUUAACCCGCUUGCUUACAGGUGCUGCUACCAAGUAGUGGGCAUUGGAACUUGGAAGAUGGUACUAACUCUGUCGCUAUGGCUAAAGAGGUGAAUGAGAGUCAACUUUGAGUUUUUGAAGAAACUUGGAGUUGAUUGGUGGUGUUUCUACACGUGAGCUGUUUGCUUUGAACAUUGGGUUUGCAACAGUGAGAAGAACCAGAAGGCUAAAGACUCUAGCUGAAUAUGUCAUGCAGUUGGUUCUUAUAUGUAAUAUCUUUUAUAAGCAUUAGGAAUCUUAAACAUUCACAACUGAUUCACGGAUGGGAGUAAUGUAUUACACGUUGGGGAGGUUUAUGUAUAUUUUGGUGCACUCUGCAGCACUUGAGAUGGUUUAGUUUAUUAAUUAUCCAAGAACAUACAAGAUAUAUAAAUGUAUAUCUAAAAUACUAUUAAUCAUACUCUAAACCCUUAAUUUUUAAUAUUUCAUCAUAAAAUCCAAAUAUACCAACAAAUAAUAUGAUAUAAUUAAAAUCUAACACUAAUAAUAAACUAGAAAUUUUUUUUUGCUUCAAGUUCUAAACCCUAAACAUACCAUAAAUUCCAACAUCCAACACUUACAAUAAACUUCAAAAUGAACAUUUGUAGAAAUUUAUAACUAAAACAAAAGCAUAUUACUUUAAAAAUAUAUAAAUUUUCAACAUGUAAUUUAAAAAAAAAACAAAACCUAAACCUAAACCCUAAUGUUUGAUGUCAGUGUAAUACUUGGAAAGAUUCUAUGUAAGAUGUAUCUAUUAUGAAUUUAAUGCAAUAUAUGUUUUAGUUAUAAAUCAAUUUGCAAUUUGCAAUUUAUAAUUUAUAAAAUAUAAUCUUAAAUUUAAAUUCUAAAUCUCAAACACUAAAUCUUUAAUCUACCCCCUAUAUCUAAUACCCCAAACCUCAAACCUAUGAUAUAAAUUUAAAAACCAAACUCCAAUUAUAUUCAAAAACUCAAACCAUAUACUUGAUCCUAAAUCUUAACCAUGUACCUAAUAGAACUUAUAUCCAAUAUAUAAAAACAUUUAAUAGUUAAAAUCCUAUUUUUUUAAAAGAUUAAUUUCAUAUUUUAAAUAUAUACUUUAAACAAUCAUCCCCCAAACUCUAAACUCUGAAUGAUAAAUCUAAUUUCCAAAUUUAUUUAUUUUCAUUUUAACUCAAAAUCUUAAAUGUAAACUUUAAAUCUAUUUCGAAACUUUAAUUUCUGAUUUUCAACUUAAACCCUUAACUCUAUUUCAUAUACCUCAAUAUCAAUAACAAAGUUUAAAAUUUAAAAUUUAAAACUAUAAAUUUAAUUCUAAAGAUUAAUUUUUAACAUUUAAAUUGUGAAAUCUAAAUCUUAUUUUUUUCUCAAAAUUUUAUCAUAAAUAUUCUAUAUAUUAAACACACAAAAUAGAAAAGGAAAAAAUGGUGUUCCAAGAAAAAAAGAAUAAAAAACAACAACAAAACAAUCUGAUUGGUCAACACAUAU